rnacentral:rRNA from 1 species
UACGUAGGUGGCAAGCGUUAUCCGGAUUUAUUGGGCGUAAAGCGAGCGCAGGCGGAAAGAUAAGUCUGAUGUGAAAGCCCCCGGCUUAACCGAGGAAUUGCAUCGGAAACUGUGUUUCUUGAGUGCAGAAGAGGAGAGUGGAACUCCAUGUGUAGCGGUGGAAUGCGUAGAUAUAUGGAAGAACACCAGUGGCGAAGGCAGCUUACUAAGCCAUAACUGACACUGAAGCACGAAAGCGUGGGUAUCGAACAGG